ACACGACUACAUUAGAUACCCGGGUAGUCCCAGCCGUAAACGAUACUCGCUAGGUGUCGGCCACGGUGCGACCGUUGUCGGUGCCGUAGGGAAGCCGUGAAGCGAGCCACCUGGGAAGUACGGCCGCAAGGCUGAAACUUAAAGGAAUUGGCGGGGAGCACCACAACGGGUGGAGCUUGCGGUUUAAUUGGAUUCAACGCCGGAAAUCUUACCGGGACCGACAGCAACAUGAAGGCCAGGCUGAAGACUUUGCCGGAUUAGCUG
rnacentral:rRNA from 1 species